GUAGGGUCCGAGCGUUGUCCGGAAUUAUUGGGCGUAAAGGGCUCGUAGGCGGUUUGUCGCGUCGGGAGUGAAAACACGGGGCUUAACCCUGUGCUUGCUUUCGAUACGGGCAGACUGGAGGUAUGCAGGGGAGAACGGAAUUCCUGGUGUAGCGGUGAAAUGCGCAGAUAUCAGGAGGAACACCGGUGGCGAAGGCGGUUCUCUGGGCAUGACCUGACGCUGAGGAGCGAAAGUGUGGGGAGCGAACAGGAUUAGAUACCCUGGUAGUCCACACCGUAAACGUUGGGCGCUAGGUGUGGGAUCCAUUCCACGGGUUCCGUGCCGCAGCUAACGCAUUAAGCGCCCCGCCUGGGGAGUACGGCCGCAAGGCUAAA
rnacentral:rRNA from 1 species